rnacentral:rRNA from 1 species
UACGUAGGGGGCAAGCGUUGUCCGGAAUCAUUGGGCGUAAAGAGCGUGUAGGCGGCCUGGCAAGUCUGACGUGAAAUCCCGCGGCUCAACCGCGGUCGGUCGUUGGAAACCGCGUGGCUAGAGUCCGGAAGAGGAGAGUGGAAUUCCGUGGAUGUAGCGGUGAAAUGCGCAGAUAUCAGGAAGAACACCAAUGGCGAAGGCAGCUCUCUGGGACGGUACUGACGCUGAGACGCGAAAGCGUGGGGGAGCGAACAGG